rnacentral:rRNA from 1 species
AGCGAACGCUGGCGGCAGGCCUAACACAUGCAAGUCUAGGGGGUGUAGCAAUACAUCACCGGCGGACGGGUGCGUAACACGUGGGAAUAUACCUUUUGGUUCGGAACAACGCAGGGAAACUUGCGCUAAUACCGAAUGUGCCCUUACGGGGAAAGAUUUAUCGCCAAAGGAUUAGCCCGCGUAGGAUUAGCUAGUUGGUGAGGUAACGGCUCACCAAGGCUCCGAUCCUUAGCUGUUCUGAGAGGAAGAUCAGCCACACUGGGACUGAGACACGGCCCAGACUCCUACGGGAGGCAGCAGGUUGGGAAUCUUGGACAAUGGGGGAAACCCUGAUCCAGCCAUGCCGCGUGAGUGAUGAAGGCCUU